rnacentral:lncRNA from 1 species
AUAUUUGACUAGAUCUUACAAAGAUUUAUAUUUUUAUUAAAAUAAUUGUUUCUCCAAUAGCUCUUUGCAUCUGUGACAGCUGUUUAUUCGGGACAAUUAUAUAAUUUUUAAUGUAAACUUUGUUGUACGAACGUACAUGACUUUAGAACGCACCUACGCAUGUGAGAUUUCCGCGGGGUUUUGGUGAAUGUAAACAGAAAGAUACGAGGACCGAGAAUACUGAACACAAACAGAGAAAACGUUAUUUAAAUGGUAUCUUUGUGCUUCUGAAGGUUAUCGAAAUGAUAGUUUUAAACAUAUACUCAAAUUUAAAUACGUCGGAUAUCUUUUUUAAAGAUAGUUCUUGUUAUUAUUAUUGCC